UGAGCUCUCAUUGUUGGAGUGACAUCAUGGGUUUGUCACCGACAGGAUGUUGUUCUGGCAGCUUCCUGUGUCUCAUGUUGCUCAGAUGCCGCUACCUGUCAGCCGAGGUAUGAAAGCAUCGCGACCCGUCCAGCUGAAUUAAUGAUCCGUGACCUUCCCUCAAUUAUGUCUCAUUACCCCGCAGCCCUGAGGCAUUCUGGGACACAAUGGGAAGACAUGAGAAUUAAGAGAUGUGAGUGAAAACGAAUCCUAAAGGGGUUUUUCUGCUGUCCGUCUCACGUCACUCACUGUCACACAAAGAGCGGCUCUGUUUUAUUUUACCGGCUCAUUUCUGCGGUGCUGAAGUCAUUUGCCUGCACAAAUCCACUAUAGUUAGUCACUGUACAAUCAUAAUAAAUGAAUAUGCAAACUAAGACACUAUUUUUACACUAACCCAGCAUUUUUUAGAGUGUGUAUUUGAGUCUGAAAUCAGCUUUUUAAUCUUCAGAAAUGUUGAGAUCUGAUGACAUGUUGUCAAUCACGAAUGAUCGGCGUGAACCUGAGAAGUCUCCCUCCCUCCUGCUCACCUGCGUCUCUCGGCCGAUCUUUGAAAGCGCUGGAACAAUGACUGCAGGGCCUUUAUUAACAUCAAUUAUCGUAACCCAAGACUUCAGGCUUUCUCACGGGCCCCUGCCGCUCCGGAGCCCGCGGAGGCCCUCGUCUUCAGACUGCUUGUUGCCAUUUAGGGGCUGCGGACAAUUAUGUCAAAUGUUAAAUGGUAAAAUGACAUCUAGAUCCACGAGAACGCAAACCUGCCAUUUGAAGUCAUAGUUUUCCCAGCUGACAUUGUUUAUGCACAAAAACACGAGAGGAAAUCUGUCGAUAUAAGAUGAGAUUUGUUAAGCCUGCAGGAUUAUAACAGGAAUCUGUUGUCGUAUUAUGGGCUUUUGUGACGGUUAAGACGCUCUGGAGGUUUGAUCUGCAGGCUAAUGGCUCUGGAUGGAUAUGAGGUCAUAAUCUCACAACUAUAUCUGUUCUGGUUAUGGAUUUAUUACUCUCCGGCACGAUCGUUAGACUGGUUUAAAAGGCUGUUUAAGACAUAAAGCCUGGUUUCUAUAUGACAUUUUGAGUCUGCAUGACUGUUAUUCAGUAUUAUUAUUAUCUAAAUACCAUUGGAAAAAGUUUGGGGUAGGUAAGAUUUUUUAAUGUUUUUGAAAGAAGUCUCUUCUGCUCACCAACGCUGCAUUUAUUUGAUCAAAAAUACGAUAAAAUUGUGAAAUAUUUUUACAAUUUAAAACAGCUGUUUUUUAUGUGAAUGUAUAGUAAAGUGUAAUUUAUUCCUCUGAAUUUUCAGCAUCAUUACUCCAGUCUUCAGUGUCACAUGAUCCUUCAGAAAUCAUUCUGAUAUGAUGAUUUGAUGCUCAAGAAACAUUUAUGAUUAAUAUCAAUGUUGAAAACAGUUGUGCUGAUUCAUAUUUUUGUGGAAACUGAGAUACGUUUUAUUUUUCAGGAUUCUUUGAUGAAUAGUAAGUUUAAAAAAAAAGUAUUAAUUUCGUUCAAAUGGAAGUCUAAAAUUGUCGACUAAAUAGACAUGUUAAAAAAAAACUAAUAAAAAGGGCAAAAACAACAAAAUUAUUAAAAAUAUAAAAUCAAACUAUUCAUAAAUAGCCUACUAUAGAGAUAAAAAUCCUUAGCAACGUUGUAUGGAAACAAUUUAGACUGGAAAAAAGACAAAUUAUCACUUAGAAAUGAGGAACACAACAAGCGAUUAAUCUUAAGCAGGCAACAAACACAAGGAGUGCUAGAUAUAAGAAACAGUGAGAGCAUAAGAAGAUUUUCUUUCUUUCCAGCUGGAUGCAGUGAAGUUUUCAUCUGUCUUGAAUAUUAUUGUCAAAGUCCCUUUAAGACGUUUCACUCGGCGGCCAUCUUGGAAACGCCUCGCAUCCAUUUUCUCGCGCAGUCUAUAAAAAACAUCGCGGAGCAAAGAGGACACUGACAAUGCGUCGACAGACAAGACAGAACAGACCAGAAUGAACACAGGAAUGUUUAAUGGCCAGGAGAAGAUGACGAGCACAUGAUGACAUCCGUGAGACUAGCUAUUUUAUGUCAACAAUGAGGAGAUCGCAAUGAGGAGAUCACAUGAUUUCCUGCCAGAUGUGCUGAGAUGUUUCCACAUGUGCUGAAGGAGUUCAUCAUAACCCACUGACUGACAUCCACUCUGAAACACUGACAGGAUUCGUUUAUUUCACACCAACAUGACAGUGUUGAAUCAAAGCAAAUGUGCGCUGUAACGAAUGAAGAAUAUAUGACAAAUUUCCUCAUAGUUUUUCAUUGGUUCAUCUAUUAUUUGAUCAAUUAAUAUUAAUUCACCCAGAAGCGUGAAUGAAGAUGUUCAUGAUGCGGUGGAAUAUGCUUUUGUCUUUUUUUUUAUACCUUGUAUUAGUUCAAGUAAAGGCAGAUCACAGUAAUUCAUAUUUAGUUAUACAGGUGCAUCUCAAUAAAUUAGAAUAUCAUAAAAAAGUUUUUUUUUUCUGUAAUUUAAUUCAAAAAGUAAAACUUAAAUAUAUUCUAGAUUUAUUAGACAUAAAGUAAAAUAUUUCCAGACUUUUUUGUUUUCAUUUUGAUGAUUACAGCUUGCAAUCAAAAAAUCAGUAUCUCAAAUUAUUAGAAUAUUUAAUUUUUAAGUUCUAUUAAAUUAUCAUUCUCAGAGUAUAAAUACUGGGUUUAGGUCAGUAAUCCCAACAGCAGUCAUGAGGAAGUCUGCUGACUUGACAGUUGUCCAGAAGACGAUCAUCAAGACCCUCUACAAUGAGGGUAAGCCACAGAGGGUCACUGCUGAAAGAGCUGGCUGUUCGCAGAGCUGUGCCAAACCAUAUUCAUGGAAAGUUGACUGGAAGGAAAAAGUGUGGUAGGAAAAGGCGAUUUAAGAACUUAAGAGAGCUUCAAAAGGAGUGGACUGAAGCUGGAGUCAGUGCAUCAAGAGCCACCACACACAGACGUCUUCAGGAAAUGAGCUACAACUGUCACAUUCCACGUACCAAGCCACUUCUGAACCAAAGACAACGUCAGAAGCGUCUUACCUGGGCUAAGGAGAAGAAGAACUGGACUGUUGCUCAGUGGUCCAAAGUUCUCUUUUUAGAUGAAAGUAAAUUUUGCAUUUCAUUUGGAAAUCAAGGUCCCAGAGUCUGGAGGAAGACUGGAGAGGCACAGAAACAAUGUUGCUUGAAGUCCAGUGUAAAGUUUCCACAGUCAGUGAUGAUUUGGGCUUCCAUGUCAUCUGCUGGUGUUGGUCCACUGUGUUUUCUGAAGUCCACAGUCAACGCAGCCAUCUACCAGGAAAUUUUAGAGCACUUCAUGCUUCCUUCUGCUGUCAAGCUUUAUGGAGAUGAUUUCAUUUUCCAGCAGGAUUUGGCACCUGUCCACACUGCCAAAGGUACCAAAAGCUGGUUCAAUGACCAUGGUGUUACUGUGCUUGAUUGGCCAGCAAACUCGCCUGACCUGAACCCCAUAGAGAAUCUAUAGUCAAGAGGAAGAUGAGAGACACCAGACCCAACAAUGCAGAUGAGCUGAAGGCCGCUAUCAGAGCAACCUGGGCUUCAUUACACCUGAGCAGUGCCACAGGCUGAUCGCCUCCAUGCAACGCCGCAUUGAUGCAGUAAUUCAUGCAAAAGGAGGCCCAACCAAGUGUUGAGUGCAUAGAA